rnacentral:rRNA from 1 species
GACGAACGCUGGCGGCGUGCCUAAUACAUGCAAGUAGGACGCACAGUCUAUACCGUAGCUUGCUACACCAUAGGCUGUGAGUUGCGAACGGGUGAGUAACGCGUAGGUAACCUGCCUAUUAGAGGGGGAUAACUAUUGGAAACGAUAGCUAAUACCGCAUAACAGUAUGUAACACAUGUUAGAUGCUUGAAAGAUGCAAUUGCAUCGCUAGUAGAUGGACCUGCGUUGUAUUAGCUAGUAGGGAGGGUAAUGGCCUACCUAGGCGACGAUACAUAGCCGACCUGCAAGGGUGCUCGGCCACACUGGGACUGUGACACGGCCCAGCCUCCUACGGCAGGCAGCCGUAGGGAAUCUUCGGCAAUGGGGGGAACGCUGACCGAGCAACGCCGCGUGAGUGCAGAAGGUUUUCGGGUCGUAAAGCUCUGUUGUUAAGGAAGAACGAGUGUGAGAAUGGAAAGUUCAUACUGUGACGGUACUUAACCAGAAAGGGACGGCUAACUACGUG